ensembl:lncRNA
GCGCAAACACGAUCAUCCGUCUCAUAAUGAUCCAAUGAAACUCCAGCAACCUCGAAACGAAACCAGCGCGAGUGUAACUAUGAUGAAAGUGACGGAUGAGCAGCUCAGUCAAAACUGCAUUUUAUCUAAGACACUUUAACAUUUAGCUGUGUCUUUCUCAGAGGCCGGUUUGUGUUUUAUUUGCUCCACUUUUCCUCCCCCUCGUCAUCACCAUUUCUCCACCCCCCCAACAGGUGCAUCCCAUAUCGCGCAUGCGCACAGGUAACAUUCCUCUUUGGGUUUUGACCAUAGUCUAUUGUUUUACUAUGGCUUUUUUUUUAAAAAUGCCAAAACACUUAAUAACAAGCAUAUAACCACAACAAUUUCAAAAACAAUACAGGACAAAAUACGAAAAAAUAAUACAAGAUAAAAAGUUAAAAAUAAAUGAAUAAAUAAAACUACGAACAAACAAAUAAACAACAUAAACCAUUAAACAUUUAACGCAGCUUGCAUCUUUGGUGUUGCAUUACCGCCAUCUUCUGGAGCUACUUCCCAUGUACCGCAUCUUGUUUUCAGACUCUUGAUAUUAGCAAAAGUAUACAAGACCUAGAGGCGAAACUCUGAUGCUUUUGGGGUAACAGCCACUAGGUGGCGCUUUCGGUAGCGCGGCCGCCAUUUAGGGGUGAAAAUUCCAAUUUAAUAACAGCACAGAUGAAACGGACAGAAUAACAACGAAAGAGAGGUCAAAGUGGAAUAAAAGAAAGCAGUGUUGGGCUAUCCACUGCAAAAACUAUCAGUGUGACAGUAAAAAUAUUGCCUUUCAUCGUUUUCCCAAAGACAGAGCUGAUCCGUGCUGGUCGCUGAGGAAAUACAUCAACUUUGCACUGUGGAUCGCCGUAUCAGCUUUCACUGUGGAUGAAGCGAAGUCCAGCCCGGGGUCAAGUCUUCUGGGAGUUCCUCACUCAACCCCAGCAUACGUGAUGCUGUGUGAUGAAUUUUAUGGAGGACUGUUUCCUGACCUUGCAGAGUAGCUUAAAAUGGGUCUCAACCCAAAGGCUGUUCUAUACAGUGAGGCAGUUCCAACUUUGCAAGGACACUUUUGUGAAUCAUUACCCUACAUUUUUUUAAUUGGAUAAAUAAAACAUUUUUUUUCCAGUGUAGCGCUUGUUGU